rnacentral:rRNA from 1 species
AGCGAACGCUGGCGGCAGGCCUAAUACAUGCAAGUCGAGCGGUCCUUUCGGGGGCAGCGGCGGACGGGUGAGUAACGCGUGGGAACGUGCCCUUUGGUACGGAACAACUGAGGGAAACUUCAGCUAAUACCGUAUGUGCCCUUCGGGGGAAAGAGUUAUCGCCAUUGGAGCGGCCCGCGUUAGAUUAGCUAGUUGGUGGGGUAAAGGCCUACCAAGGCGACGAUCUAUAGCUGGUCUGAGAGGAUGAUCAGCCACACUGGGACUGAGACACGGCCCAG